rnacentral:rRNA from 1 species
CUUAAGUGGGGAAUAACGCAUCGGAACGUGCCCAGUAGUGGGGGAUAGCCCGGCGAAAGCCGGAUUAAUACCGCAUACGACCUAAGGGUGAAAGCGGGGGAUCGCAAGACCUCGCGCUAUUGGAGCGGCCGAUGUCGGAUUAGCUAGUUGGUGGGGUAAAGGCCUACCAAGGCGACGAUCCGUAGCUGGUCUGAGAGGACGACCAGCCACACUGGGACUGAGACACGGCCCAGACUCCUACGGGAGGCAGCAGUGGGGAAUUUUGGACAAUGGGCGCAAGCCUGAUCCAGCCAUGCCGCGUGCGGGAAGAAGGCCUUCGGGUUGUAAACCGCUUUUGUCAGGGAAGAAACGGUUUGGGCUAAUACCCCGAACUAAUGACGGUACCUGAAGAAUAAGCACCGGCUAACUACGUGCCAGCAGCCGCGGUAAUACGUAGGGUGCAAGCGUUAAUCGGAAUUACUGGGCGUAAAGCGUGCGCAGGCGGCUUUGCAAGACAGAUGUGAAAUCCCCGGGCUCAACCUGGGAACUGCAUUUGUGACUGCAUCGCUGGAGUGCGGCAGAGGGGGAUGGAAUUCCGCGUGUAGCAGUGAAAUGCGUAGAUAUGCGGAGGAACACCGAUGGCGAAGGCAAUCCCCUGGGCCUGCACUGACGCUCAUGCACGAAAGCGUGGGGAGCAAACAGGAUUAGAUACCCUGGUAGUCCACGCCCUAAACGAUGUCAACUGGUUGUUGGACGGCUUGCUGUUCAGUAACGAAGCUAACGCGUGAAGUUGACCGCCUGGGGAGUACGGCCGCAAGGUCGAAACUCAAAGGAAUUGACGGGGACCCGCACAAGCGGUGGAUGAUGUGGUUUAAUUCGAUGCAACGCGAAAAACCUUACCUACCCUUGACAUGCCAGGAACUUACCAGAGAUGGUUUGGUGCUCGAAAGAGAGCCUGGACACAGGUGCUGCAUGGCCGUCGUCAGCUCGUGUCGUGAGAUGUUGGGUUAAGUCCCGCAACGAGCGCAACCCUUGUCAUUAGUUGCUACGAAAGGGCACUCUAAUGAGACUGCCGGUGACAAACCGGAGGAAGGUGGGGAUGACGUCAGGUCAUCAUGGCCCUUAUGGGUAGGGCUUCACACGUAA